rnacentral:rRNA from 2 species
GUUUAUCAAAAACAUGGCUUUUAGGAUUUAAUUUAAAGUCUAACCUGCCCACUGAUAUUUAAAUGGCCGCAGUAUAUUAACUGUGCAAAGGUAGCAUAAUCAUUAGUUUUUUAAUUGAAAGCUGGAAUGAAUGGUUGAACGAAAUAUUAACUGUUUCAUAUAUAAUGAUAAUAAAAUUUUAUUUUUUAGUAAAAAAGCUAAAAUAAAAUUAAUAGACGAGAAGACCCUAUAAAUCUUUUUAUUUUAUUGGGGUGAUAAUAAAAUUUAAUAAACUUUUAAUUUAAAAUUUACAUUAAUUAAUGUAUUAUUGAUCCUUAAAUUAUGAUUAUAAAAAUAAGUUACUUUAGGGAUAACAGCGUAAUUUUUUUAGAGAGUUCAUAUUAAUAAAAAAGAUUGCGACCUCGAUGU